UGCCAUAAUUAGACGCUCAUUCCUCAGUCACGCUGCAACUGCGACGCUCAAACUCCAUCACAUCCACUUCUUUUCAUCGGACUCACUCUAUCUUUAUCAAAGGAGCGGUGCUGUUUAUCGACGCAUCCUGCAGAAAACCCAACACAGGCACUAUCUGGGACAUUUUUCCCCCCUCUUUUUCAGUUGAUCUGUGUUUCUUCCUCCUCUCCUUGUUUCAAUGGGUCCGUGCGUUGUGCUGCUCUGCUCUCUCCUCGGAGUUGUCCUUGGUCAAGGAGUGGAUCAGGUCUCCAUUGAAGACUGCUGUAAGGAUGGACAAAAGCGUGCCAGUGAUGAUGAAGACUGUGCAGCCCUUCCUCUUAUCUCAGCAUCAAACACAUGCAGGAUAGUGCAGGAGCAGUGCUGUGUAACAGUGCUUGAGGAUAACAUGUGCACCACUGGUAUCAACACGGCCAAAGAACAAGGAGUCUGUGAUUCUUUAUUCGCUAACACCUGCGAGACAAAGACUACGAAGAUGUGCUGCGACUGUUGUCUACUGGGGAAGGCAGUCCUGGAGCAGGGCUUACCCUGUGACCACAAGCUGUCUGUGGGCUACCAGUGUGGCCUGGUGUCCCGGGCAUGCUGUGUGGAUGGAGCUGGAGACAACCAGACUGUGUCCACAGGAGCAACUGAGUUACCAAAUAAGGAUCAAACCACCGAUAACGAAGACAAUUCUGUUGUAAAUGACCCAUGCCAAGGGACCUGUGCUCAUCAGUGUGUGAGUGAAAACACUUGUGGCUGUUUCAAAGGCUACAGACUCAAACCAGAUGGAAAGAGCUGUGAAGAUAUUAACGAGUGUUUGCUGGGAGCCAGUAACUGCCGGGGAGGAGAGCGUUGUAUCAACACUGAGGGCUCAUUCCGUUGUCAGAGAGAGGUCAGCUGUGGGACUGGCUAUGAACUCACUGACAACAACAACUGUAAAGAUAUUGAUGAAUGUGAGACUGGCAUCCAUAACUGUGGCCCAGAGUUUGAGUGUCAAAACACCCAGGGAUCAUUCCGUUGUCUCCCCAAAGUCAAGUGUGCUGCUGGCUUUAUCCAGGACGCCCUGGGCAGCUGUAUUGAUAUUAAUGAAUGUGUUACCCAGACUCCAUGCACCAGAGGGCAGGUCUGUAUAAACACAGUUGGCUCUUACAUCUGCCAGAGGAACUCCGUUAACUGUGGUCGAGGAUACCACCUGAACGAAGAAGGCACUCGCUGCAUUGAUAUUGAUGAGUGUAAGAGUCUUGACAAGGUCUGCGAGGGUCAUGGAUGUAUUAAUCUGGUGGGCUCGUACCGCUGUGAGUGCGAGGCGGGCUACAUCUUUAACAGCAUCAGUCGGGUUUGUGAAGAUAUUAAUGAAUGCAGACAUUAUCCUGGCCGUCUGUGUGCUCACAAGUGCGAAAACACCCUCGGAUCCUACAAGUGUAGCUGCACCACAGGUUUCAAACUGGCUGCUGAUGGCAGGAACUGUGACGAUUUGAACGAAUGUGAGAGCAACCCAUGCAGUCAAGAGUGCGCCAAUGUGUACGGCUCCUACCAGUGUUACUGUCGCCGUGGUUACCAGCUCAGUGACAUGGAUGGCAUGACUUGUGAAGAUAUAGAUGAAUGCGCCCUGCCCACCGGAGGUCAUAUUUGCUCCUAUCGCUGUCACAACACUCCUGGAAGUUUCCACUGUUCCUGUCCUAUCAAUGGUUAUACCUUAGCAGCAAAUGGACGCAGCUGUCAGGAUAUCGAUGAGUGUCUGACAGGAACACAUACCUGUACAGGGAAUCAGAGCUGCUUCAAUGUCCAGGGAGGAUUCAGAUGCCUGUCCUUCGACUGUCCGAAUAACUACCGCCGUGUGGGAGAGACUCGAUGUGAACGCUUGCUUUGCAAUGACUCUGAAGAGUGCCUGGCCAUGCCCCUGAGAAUAACCUACUACUACCUCACCUUCCCCACCAACAUCCCUGUCUUCACCAACAUCUUCCGCAUGGGCCCCUCCCACACUCUGGCCAGCGAUGACAUCCAGAUUGCUAUCACUGCUGGCAACGAGGGCAAUUUCUUCAAGGCGGAGCAGGUGCCCACUGGCGGCGUGAUGUCAGUGGCAAAGCUCAUGAGCAAACCCCAGGACUUUGAGCUGUCCCUCGAGCUAAGGCUUCGUCGCUACGGCAUAGUCAGCACAUACCUGGCAAAAGUACUGGUGUUUGUCACUCAGGAUGAGCCCAGAGUACCGUACAAUCCACUACUAGAAUAAAGAUGAGGGUUAUUUAAACUGACUUUACAUCACAGUUACACAACAUGUGCCAUUUUCAAUGCACUGUCUAGUGGAAAAAGCAGUAAGGGACCAUAUGUAAAAGUGAUACAGAGAGUUAAGGGGAAUACCAACACCACAAAGAAAAGAAAAAAAACAAUGAACAUUAAUAUGAAGCUACAAAGAGCUGAAUACAUGAAGCGGAAACAUGCUCAAAAAACACUUUAAAGCUCUCUAAUCUCAUUUGUUGUGUUUACACAGAAAGUUAAAUCUGAAAUUUCUUUUUACUUUAUUGUGGGCAGCAUCUCAGUAGCUAAAAAAAACUCUGCGUUAGACUAAGAGAUGGUGUUGAUCUUCUCAAUUAAUCCCUAAUAAGAAUCACAAUAUCUCCUAAAAUCUAUUUUGUAACAUCGCUUUCAUUUCCACAAUUAAUUACUUGGAAAUAUAAUGAGUGGGUUAUUCAGAACAAAGUCAAUAAUCAAGUGAUGUCUACUCUUCAUUAUUGUUAUUAAUUAAACAUAAAGAUAACCCAGUCAUACACUAAACAUGUUUUGAAAAUGGCACACCAGUUCUAAGAGUAGGUAUGAAAAAAGGCACAGUUUUAGUACUGGAGCAUGUGACAUAAUAAACAUAGAUAUAAGAUAUACCUAUAGAUAUAAGGAUCAGCAGUGUAAAUGAGGUCCAAUUGAAUGUAUCUGUUUGGAGGUAAGGCAUUAGACAGCCGCUAGGUGGUGUUCUAGGUCAGGGUAUAUCAUAAAAUGGUAAUGACCCAACUCUGCCUUCAACUGAGUGUAAUUUGAUGAUGGUUGCAUGAUAAAGUCUGACGUUUUGCAGUAUUUUAUGGUUUAUAUGUUGGAUGAACAAUUUUCUAUUAAAAUUGAAAUAGAAAUAACA